UGAGAGGGCUGAGUGUCAAGCGGUGGAUUGUAGUCCCAAAUACAGAGGUUAAAUUCCUGUUUUUAC
rnacentral:tRNA from 1 species